AAGGAAGGAAGGCAGGCUAAUGCUGGCUAAGGUGUUUCUAUCCAGCUUGUUAGACAUUAUCCCUAGGCAUAGCUAUUCUGUUCUUGUUCAUUGAUGGAUUAUGACACUGAGAGUGAGUUUCCCAGCCAGGAACUCGUACUUUACAAUCAUUUUUUCGUCAUUUCUAAUAGAAAACAAAACAAAACAAACAAACAACUGGGAAUUAUGGGCCACACAGGACAGGGGCGAGCAGAGUCAGCUUGAAAGGAGUUGACAUGUGAUUUCAUCUUCUAGAUCAAUCCUUUCAGUGACUUCCCUUUUCUCUUUUAAAAAGAAUGACCUUGAACAAGACCUAUAUUCUGUGUUUUGCAAACCUCUCUUAAAAAUCGUUAUGUAUACAGAAGCAUUCUCAUACAUUUCAGCUUUGAUAUGAGGCUCCUGUACAGACAGGUUUGUUUAAGGAAAAAAGUUCAUCUAUUUUUGUCUUUCACUGAUUUCAGCCAAAAGUAAUUUCUUUCCUCUUUCUCCAGAGAAAUAAAAGAGAUGAGGGUGUCUGAUAGAGAAUGCCCCACUCUUCUUCUUUUUGUGCUAUUAUUUUGUUCUCUCCUGCCAUUCAGUAGAUUUUUGGUGUUGAAGUGUUAUCUUCUUGUGUCACUAGUAUUUAAGCACAGUCCCAUGUUACUCCCACCUCCAUCUUUCCUGAAGGGACAUCAUUUCCUUUUUUCCUUUUAAGCCAGUGCACUGCUGCUUGAAGCACUUUUGGCUUGGUGGUUUUGCUGAGUUUUCUAGCUAGUGAAAUUAGGACCAUGUUUUCUGCUGACUCUCUUGCUGUGCUGUUAUGUGGUAAGGAUGAGAAACUUGCAGCUAUUUAACAGGGCUCCUGUCCAUCAGUGAAACUAUUCCACAACAACUACUCAGGUCUUUUUUCAAUUGCAUUGAAAACAUUUUUUUUUUUUUUUUUUUGGCUAACACUGAAGUAAGAGGAAGAAGAAAACUCACUUGAAAUUUUCUAAAGAAUAAACUAGCUAGUCUGUUUUCUUAUUCUAGUGAUUUUAUUUACUCAGAGAUGAAACAUACUGGGAUUUUUUCAGGUUUUCUUUUCUUUUCCUUUAUUUUUUUAUACAAUGAAAAUAGUUCUAAGCUUUAUGGUUCAUGAAAGAGUGAUGUUUAAAAUGUAGGCCUUAUGCACAUGAGUGUGGCUCUCUAAGAUAUACCACCAACGUAUGUUAAGCCAUUCCAGUGAUCCAUGUACACAGUGAAGUUUUGAGAAUGGGUCCACCUACUCAGUCUCCAUAGCUUAUACCCUCAUUUGUAUGCUUUCCUUUAGUCUUAGAACCUGAGGAAGUAUACUUUAAAGAUCCUGUGGUGUAGGGAUGGUGCUGUUUAUAACUAUAGAAAUUGUUUUAGCUAGGGGUAAACCAUAUAAUAGUACUCCAUCAUCAUAAAUCAAACAGUAUUAUGAUGCCCUCAAUAAAUAGAGAAGAAUUUUAUUCAGAAAUAGUUGAUGCUAAAUUUAAAGCAAUUAUUAUUUAUUUUUUUAAAUUCAUGGUGCUCUGGCAGACACUGCUCUGACAAAAAGCAUUUCACCGUGUUAUAUGAUAAUUUAACGGUAAUUAUGAAUGAUAGGUAACAAGUGAUGGGAAAUUACAAUGUAAUUACAUGAUUAUAUAAAGGACUAUCAGUACACCAAAGCCAAGUAAAGUGGGUGGACAGGUUUUAAUAUUUAAGCUACAUAAAGUAUUUUUAAUAUUUAUCUAAAACUGACUUUGAUAGUUCAUAUUUCUUUUUUUAAACAGAUUUAUUUAUUUAUUUUAUGUAUUUACACUGUAGCUAUCUUCAGGCACACCAGAAGAGGGCAUUGGAUCUUAAUACAGAUAGUUGUGGGCCAUCAUGUGGUUGCUGGGAACUGAACUCAGGACCUCUGGAAGAGCAGUCAGUGCUCUUAACCACUGAGCCAUCUCUGCAGCCUGAUAGUUCAUAUUUCUUCACCUACAGGGUUAGGUGGGAAAUUAUCUCCUUACAUAGGAAUUGCCAAGGUUAAAUCGGGAAAUAUCAAAUGACCAAUUUCUUCCUUUCUUGAAAAUAGAAAUAUAUCGCAUGUUAUGUCUUGUUCUCAUUUUGAAUAUUCUUGGUAUAAAUAAAUAAAUAAGUUACAUAAUACAUUGCAAACACUUUCAAUGGAGUUUCUUAGUUUCUUAGAAUUAGUGUUACAAUUCCUGUGAAUCAUGAUCGCAGAAUUUGGAAUGAAAAUUGAAUCUAUUUUUACAUUUACUACAGAAAAGGCCCUAGAAAGGAUAUAUAGUAAGAUAAACGAUUAAAGUUAAGAGUUCUUUAGCAAAUGUUGGGAAAACUUUCUGAAUUCUUAAG
rnacentral:lncRNA from 1 species